CUCGCUCGCUCGGCUGGGGCGGGGCGGGACCGGACCGGACCCCACCCCGAAGCCCGAGCUGCAGCCUAGAGAUUCGCUUUUUCUUAUUUGCAAACAGGCUGAGGUAAAGGGAAGAGAGCAACAGCAUUUAUUUCCACCGUAAAUGCAGCCAUCAUUGCGGGUGCCCGGGCCAACCUUAGCCUUUCUCUCAAUCUACAACUUGGGAAAAUUGUGGAUUUCCUUGUGACCGACCGUUUCAUAAAGAAAGAAAAAGCCUGGUUUAUGGAUGGAACUGUGUGAUAAAGCAAGUCCAUUUUCUCUUCCCACCAUGGGUACAUUCUAUAUGGCGUUUCAAAUUUCCAGUGUCAUUAAACUGGCGGCCACAUAUAUCACAUGGAAAAGGACCUAAAAAGGAAAGAAGAGUGUACAUUAAAAGUUUAUAAAGAAUAGAUAUGAAGUUAAAUGAUAGGUAUUUAUGAAUGUAUACCUACCACUGUAAGUGCAUGUAUUAUAAACAAUGUACUUAUUCAUUUAUAGUUUUCUCUUCUCUUCUAGAUUGUUUAUUCCUAAGACAAGUUAACAAUCAUCUCUAUAUGCCCAGAGCUGAGUUUAGGGUGUGCCGUCUAAUAUAAUAAAUGAUGAAUAACCUAACGAGUUAAUAAAUUGAAAUGGCCAAGUCCUAGUUUGAAAUCAGACUGGAACAAAGUAAAAAAAACAGUCAUAUGCCAGAAAGGAAGUUACUGAGAAACUUUGGAAGAAUAAAGGCAUCUGCAGAGUUCAUAAUCUGGAAAUUUACUGUUGUUCCUCAAAACCACAAAUUUUUAAUGAUGAAAAUACUGUAAACUCUACUGUGAACUCUAAUGAGAAAUUAAUCAUAAUAGAACAAGGGAAAGAAAAGGCAUUUGGACACAGGAAUUCAUAAGCAUAUCUAUAAGCAAAACUGUUCAGUAGCUGCAAUAGUUUUGGGGGAGUUUCAACAUGUUUUUGAGAGAUGACCUCAAAAUGUAUUAAGCUUCUUUAACAUAUUCUCAUUUAAAAUCCCCAAUAUUUCAUCUUCCAUGAGAUAUGAACCUUUUAUUCAUCUAUUAACUCUUCAACAAGUAUUUAUUGAUUUUUAAUUCAUUACUAGCACUGGGUUAAGUAAAGUAGUGUUAGGGAAAAUCCCUCCAUCUCCUCUUACAACUCUUCACCAAAAAAACAAAAAAACAAAAAAACAAAACCUUCAAGAGGCUGGAAAAAAGAGAUUCAACAUUUGCACAGUUAAAGAUAAAAAGAUAAAGCAAAUAAAAGCACCAAGAUGAGUAUGUUAUGGCAAGUGUACGUUAGGCCAAGAGUAAAAUAACUAUGUAUUCCUGAAGGCUCCAGCUGGGUAAAGAAAGAACGGAGUAUUCUCUUUCACGUUCGGUUACUUACCAGUUCUUCAGAAGAAAUACCUACAUUCUUUCCCCUAUAUUGGAUACCCAGUUUUGCAUGCAGUUGAACCUCCUUGAACUUGAAGCUAGGCUGGGAAGUUACUAAAGGAGUUUUUCAUGCCAACUCUCUAAAUAGGAUAAAAUUAGAAGAUUUGACUUUAAAGCCAAUUACGAUUUUUAUACUUAUACAUAGAGAUAUAUUAAAAAUUCUUCUACUCUGACUGUUCAGACUGUAUUCCUUAGA